rnacentral:rRNA from 1 species
CAUCCACUUACAAAAAUUAUUCAUUAACGUUAUACGGGCCUGGCACCCUCUAUGGGUAAAUGGCCUCAUUUAAGAAGGACUUAAAUCGUUAAUUUCUCAUACUGGAAUAUUGAUGUUCCAUACACUGCAUCUCACAUUUGCCAUAUAGACAAAGUGACUUAGUGCUGAACUGAUUUCUUUUCGCUCGCCGCUACUAAGA